GGAGUGUGUUUCCAAGCUCUACCGGAAAGGCCAAAGGAAUUGCGAUUGCUGGCACGGACUUUGCGGAAUUCCGGAUAGCGUGUACAUGUCACAGUUGAUUACGGUUUAUACUUCAAACGAUGUCCCUGUUGAUAAAACCAAACUUUCACGUGGCGUGGGACUAACGUAUCUUUGAUGUACACAAUAUAUGGAUGGAUGGAUGAAUGGAUCGAUGGAUGAAUGAAUGGAUGAAUCAAUCUGUGAAUGAAAGUAAAUGAGAUGGUCAGAAGAAGUUCUUGCAAGCAGAAGGUCAGGUGUGGAAUUUGAUAACAAGAGUCCGCAGAAGUUUAUUUGACCAUAAACGCAAUGGACGAAUACUAACAUUGUUAGUAUGCAUGUAUAUGUACGCGAUGCCCAAAAGAUAUGUUCCAAAGUCAACAACAUUUGGUGUCAGUGACGAAUAGAUUUUAAUACUUUAGAACUAUCAGUUUUUAUACUUUCUAAAUGCACUGUUUAACUUUUGUAUCUAUCCACUUCAUAAUAAUAAAUACCUGUAUGCCC
rnacentral:misc_RNA from 1 species